CUACGGUGCUGAAGUAACAAAUGCCCUGCUUCCAGGAAAAGCCUCUAAGCAUCAGGUAACAUUAAAUCGUACCCCAAACCGACACAGGUGGUCAGGUAGAGAAUACCAAGGCGCUUGAGAGAACUCGGGUGAAGGAACUAGGCAAAAUGGUGCCGUAACUUCGGGAGAAGGCACGCUGGUGUGUAGGUGAAGUCCCUGCGGAUGGAGCUGAGACCAGUCGAAGAUACCAGCUGGCUGCAACUGUUUAUUAAAAACACAGCACUGUGCAAACACGAAAGUGGACGUAUACGGUGUGACGCCUGCCCGGUGCCGGAAGGUUAAUUGAUGGGGUUAUCCGUAAGGAGAAGCUCUUGAUCGAAGCCCCGGUAAACGGCGGCCGUAACUAUAACGGUCCUAAGGUAGCGAAAUUCCUUGUCGGGUAAGUUCCGACCUGCACGAAUGGCGUAAUGAUGGCCAGGCUGUCUCCACCCGAGACUCAGUGAAAUUGAACUCGCUGUGAAGAUGCAGUGUACCCGCGGCAAGACGGAAAGACCCCGUGAACCUUUACUAUAGCUUGACACUGAACAUUGAGCCUUGAUGUGUAGGAUAGGUGGGAGGCUUUGAAGCGUGGACGCCAGUCUGCGUGGAGCCAACCUUGAAAUACCACCCUUUAAUGUUUGAUGUUCUAACGUUGGCCCCUGACCGGGGUUGCGGACAGUGUCUGGUGGGUAGUUUGACUGGGGCGGUCUCCUCCCAAAGCGUAACGGAGGAGCACGAAGGUUAGCUAAUCCUGGUCGGACAUCAGGAGGUUAGUGCAAUGGCAUAAGCUAGCUUGACUGCGAGCGUGACGGCGCGAGCAGGUGCGAAAGCAGGUCAUAGUGAUCCGGUGGUUCUGAAUGGAAGGGCCAUCGCUCAACGGAUAAAAGGUACUCCGGGGAUAACAGGCUGAUACCGCCCAAGAGUUCAUAUCGACGGCGGUGUUUGGCACCUCGAUGUCGGCUCAUCACAUCCUGGGGCUGAAGUAGGUCCCAAGGGUAUGGCUGUUCGCCAUUUAAAGUGGUACGCGAGCUGGGUUUAGAACGUCGUGAGACAGUUCGGUCCCUAUCUGCCGUGGGCGCUGGAGAAUUGAGGGGGGCUGCUCCUAGUACGAGAGGACCGGAGUGGACGCAUCACUGGUGUUCGGGUUGUCAUGCCAAUGGCACUGCCCGGUAGCUAAAUGCGGAAGAGAUAAGUGCUGAAAGCAUCUAAGCACGAAACUUGCCCCGAGAUGAGUUCUCCCUGAGACUUUAAGUCUCCUGAAGGAACGUUAAAGACGAUGACGUUGAUAGGCCGGGUGUGUAAGCGCAGCGAUGCGUUGAGCUAACCGGUACUAAUGAACCGUGAGGCUUAACCUU
rnacentral:rRNA from 1 species